AAACUCAAAUGAAUUGACGGGGCCGCACAAGCGGUGAUGAUGUGGUUUAAUUCGAUGCAACGCGAAAAACCUUACCCACCUUUGACAUGGCAGGAAUCCUAAAGAGAUUUGGGAGUGCUCGAAAGAGAACCUGCACACAGGUGCUGCAUGGCUGUCGUCAGCUCGUGUCGUGAGAUGUUGGGUUAAGUCCCGCAACGAGCGCAACCCUUGCCAUUAGUUGCUACGAAAGGGCACUCUAAUGGGACUGCCGGUGACAAACCGGAGGAAGGUGGGGAUGACGUCAAGUCCUCAUGGCCCUUAUAGGUGGGGCUACACACGUCAUACAAUGGCCGGUACAGAGGGUAGCCAACCCGCGAGGGGGAGCCAAUCCCACAAAGCCGGUCGGAGUCCGGAUCGCAGUCUGCAACUCGACUGCGUGAAGUCGGAAUCGCUAGUAAUCGCGGAUCAGCAUGUCCGCGGUCGAAUACGUUCCCGGGCCUU
rnacentral:rRNA from 1 species